rnacentral:lncRNA from 1 species
AAAAUGAAGGAAUAUCAAUACCGAUUAUUGGAUAGAGAUAACCAACAAAGAGGGGAUUACAUCUACCGGUUAUUGGGUAGAAAACCACAGAAAUAGGACUUAUAACUACCGGUUACUGGGUAGAAGGCCACAAGAUCCGCUGGGGAAAGGAUGAACAAUGACUGGUUACUGAGCAAUUGAACAACCGAACCACAGGGAACUGCAAAGGAUAACGAGAAAGGAAAGUCAAUCCAGGAACAAACUAGAAAGACACAAUCAAACA